ACAUCACGCUGAAGUAGCCAAUCAUGUAAUCAUGGAGUCCCGUACAGUAAACAGGAAACAUCACUGCCUCUAUCGCUGCCACAAAAACGUUUUACAACACAAAACAAAAGCACUGAGCUGCCCAGGAGUUUGUGUAAAAGCUGAAUGUUUGCCAAACAACAAAGCACAGUUGAUCCGUUUGGGUUUAAAAGGAA